CAAUGGCGGCGGGUGCGUUGUAUAGCCUACGUGCAUAUGUGCCAGCUGUCUUGCCCUCUUGUCGUCACAGGAACAGCGCGGACCAUCAGUGUUUCACGGUGCCUAGAACUUUGUGCAUUUAAUAAACUUUGUUCGUUAUGCAAGGUGAAAGUUUGCGAUUUCCGACCAUUUCCAUGUGUAAGGAAGUUUGUUCGUUAUAUUACAAGAAAGGCGAGGCACGGAAGGACAAGAGCAGAGGUGUUUUCAGUCAGGCUACAGAAAUGUUGAUCUGUCAUAGUGUGUCGCUGACCUUGGAGAAACCUGCUGACCAGUGACGAGGACAACAAGAAGACACAGAAGCAGCAGAGUGAAGCAGGUUUUGUGUAGCAGCGCUCUUAGUGGAACACACGCUGGCAGGGCUGCAAGCACGCCCGAGAUAAACAAUUACCACUGAGAAUGAUAACAAAGCGCGGCGAAUGGACUCAGUGUUGACUACUCCGGAGCCAACCUCCACCACCAUUAGCAGCUCACGGGACUUGCUGGAGCUUAAGGUGAAACGAAGGAUGAGGUAACAAGCCAAAGGAGGAAGGGGAGAAGGAAUGCAGAAUGAGAGCUGCCAUUACCACUCCGCUGCCUGUUACUGGGGUCUUGAAGGUGUUCUGCAUCCAAGGCGAGUGUUGGAGUGCUUGUAAAUGAGGUAGAUUAACGACCAUUCAAGUCAAUGUUGCUGCAGACUGACAUAGAUGAACGCCACCAAGGGAGUCGCCGUCCUGGGAGUGCUUGAGGUCCCCAGGUCACAGGCAGUCUGAUGGAACAAGGGUGAUGGGCAAGCAGAGAAUGAAGAGGCUACUGAUGGAAGUUGUACUGGACCUCUUUCUCCCACCAUGGAGUCUCCAGCUGCUGCAUGCUUGGAGGAGACCAGUUCCCCCAAACCAUUUAUGAGACCUAUCACUGAUAAGUCGUCUGGUAACUGUCCACUAUGAAUACCCCUUGUGUUUAGGAGGUUCUGAAAGCAAUGAAAGAACUUCUGGUCUGGCCAUCGGUUCAUUCAUCACCAUCCGGGCCAUGGUGGAUGGGGUUACAGGAGACUUAUCGGCAAAAUGUCUCAUAAAUAGAACCUGAACACAGUGACCCAUCCUGGAGACUGGUUUUCAAACAGGGCAAGUGUAAGAGCAGAGACUCUCCCCACUUAUAUAUAUCCUUUUUUUAUUCUGUUGCUGUUAUCUUGUGGUUAAAUUUUGUGUACUGUUUUUAUACUGCUAGGAGUGUUGAGUUUGACACUCUCAUCUCUGGCAAGUAACAUUAUGGGUCACAACAAUGGUAUCCAGGUUACACUUGGGCUCUGCUAGGGAGGGACCUUAUUUAAAGGGAGGGCAAGCAAGAUUGGAUUUUUAGAAAGAGACAGGUGUUUGUAUGAUAUAAUGUAUUGCCUGGGGCUGUAGUGUCAGCUAGGACAUAAAGCCACCCAUUUGCCUUGAUUUUUGUACAGUCUCACUUGCCCCCCCCUUCAAACAGUCUCCUGUCCCCUACUGCUUGCCUUAGCAGAGCCCCAAGUGACUUCUGUUCUGCUGUUGUGACCCCCUUGUCAACAACUGGCGGUUCUUGGCAAACACAAUUUCACGGAGACUUGGUUCCCUGCCGUGCUGUAGGAUAAGAGAAGUUAGUACUAGAUUAUUCAUACUUACAAAUAAAUUUCUCAUACUGAUCCAA